rnacentral:rRNA from 1 species
UACGUAGGGUGCAAGCGUUGUCCGGAAUUAUUGGGCGUAAAGAGCUCGUAGGCGGUUUGUCGCGUCUGCUGUGAAAACUCGAGGCUCAACCUCGGGCUUGCAGUGGGUACGGGCAGACUAGAGUGCGGUAGGGGUGACUGGAAUUCCUGGUGUAGCGGUGGAAUGCGCAGAUAUCAGGAGGAACACCGAUGGCGAAGGCAGGUCACUGGGCCGCAACUGACGCUGAGGAGCGAAAGCAUGGGGAGCGAACAGG